rnacentral:rRNA from 1 species
UACGGAGGGUGCGAGCGUUGUCCGGAAUCACUGGGCGUAAAGGGCGCGUAGGCGGUCACGCACGUCCGUUGUGAAAUCGCUCGGCUCAACUGGGCGGGGUCAGCGGAUACGGCGUGGCUGGAGCAAGCUAGGGGGCAAUGGAAUUCCCGGUGUAGUGGUGGAAUGCGUAGAUAUCGGGAGGAACACCAGUGGCGAAGGCGGUUGCCUGGAGCUUUGCUGACGCUGAUGCGCGAAAGCGUGGGGAGCGAUCCGG